GUUCUGAGGGCUCAAGCCCAGGAGACAGCUUCUCAGAUCGCUCUGAGGGACCGCUCCAAAGAGGAUUGACCUUUGAGAAAGCUCAAUGGAUAAUUCUGAUUUUAUAUUACUCACUGAUGGUUCAUAUGUACAAGGACCUCAUGGAAGAUGGAAAGGAAGAAUGAAGAAUAAAGCAGGUAAAAAAUGACUAGCUGUCUAUCCCCAACAGCCCCCUUAGCAAUCCUGCAGGCAGGUCACACAGGCAAGAUAACAUCUGAAGAGAGUCAGCUAGUCUGCUCGCAAUGGAGAAGGAUGCAGAACUCAACCUCCUGCCUCGAUGAUUCACUGAGAUUGUCCCCCACCCCCCUUUUCCCCCUUUAGAAACUGUCAUGGCUAAGCAGAAUCUUUGGAGUUGGUCUCUGGACACAAGUCCACCUUCUCCCCAGAUUGCCAGCUUUUCUGAUUAAAGCCCUUUUCUUUCCUACCGACGCUUGCCUCUUGAAUUAUUGGCAUAUGAGCAGUGAGCAGCCGAACCUCGUGUUGACUUAAAAGAAACAUACGCACAACGUGAGAGAUGCGAGUUAAGUUUUAUUUGGGGCGCAAUGAGGACUGCAGCCCGGGAGACAGCGUUACAGAUAACUCUUGAGAAACUGCUCCAAGGAUGCGAGA